ACACUUCGUCCUUAAUCAACACCGCCAACCAGCCACCGAUCACCGCCGCGACACUGCGAUAAUAUGAGUUUGUUGCUGCAAUCUGAGUUUCCUCCUCCUUUGUAAUCUGAGUUUUCGCCUCACCUGUCUUCUCUCCCCCGACGUCCGUUUGAGGUACGUCACCGGCCAUCAUCAUGGAAAACCGUGCGUUCUCACUCUCUCCAUUCGGAAUCUGGUCGUAUUCACCAGCGUUGGUAACGGAGACGUCGUCGCCAGUCAUUUCUUCAACGGAGACGAUUACGGCGGUGUUGGAAUGGAUGAGAUCUGCCAUUGUUAAACACCGUACGAGUUUGAUACACAAGAGAUUUGUUCUAUAGUGUGCAGGGAAGGGAAAAAAAAGGGUUGCAACCACGUACAGGGAAAGGAAGGAAC
rnacentral:lncRNA from 1 species